GACGCGGCCGACGCGGGUCAAAGGUGUAGUAUCUGUUCUUAUCAGCUUAAUAUCUGCUACUGGUUGUAUUUGGACAUGCGAUAUUAAAGUUGUUUUUGCAAGCUGGCUGAGUGCUUGAAGCCUGCUUCACCUACUCCGUGGGUCGGCCCGGUAUAUCGCUAUCUUCGGGGUCGGCCCACGUAUG